rnacentral:rRNA from 1 species
CGGAUCGUAAAGCUCUGUUGUUGGUGAAGAAGGAUAGAGGUAGUAACUGGCCUUUAUUUGACGGUAAUCAACCAGAAAGUCACGGCUAACUACGUGCCAGCAGCCGCGGUAAUACGUAGGUCCCGAGCGUUGUCCGGAUUUAUUGGGCGUAAAGCGAGCGCAGGCGGUUUGAUAAGUCUGAAGUUAAAGGCUGUGGCUCAACCAUAGUUCGUCUUUAGGAAACUGUACAAACUUGAGUGCAGAAGGGGAGAGUGGAAUUCCAUGUGUAGCGGUGAAAUGCGUAGAUAUAUGGAGGAACACCGGUGGCGAAAGCGGCU